CAAGCCUCCCCUGGAUUGAGUCCUGGAGUGGUCUCAGGACUUCCUUGCUCCCAAACAGGAAGCAGGUGGCUAUGGUGCAUUUCCUGUCCUUGUUCUCUCUGUGGGAACCAAGGAUGAGGCAUUGGCCCAAAAGCAGGACGUUCCUGAGGACGGAGCUUGCUGAACACUGGCCCUCUGGUGACCCCCAGGUUUGCAGAAGCUGAUGGACCCAGGGCCCACCUGGAGCCUCCCAGAAGGAGAGGAGUCAUGGGCUCAACCUGAGAGCUGGGUGAAACUGACCCACAUGCUUUGGGAGGAGACAGAGUGGCUUGGAAACUGGGUUAGGAAUCACCAUCUCCCUGGCAACCAAGCCCACCCAGCACGGGAGAGCGCAGUCUUUGCUCUCGGAGGAGCGGACCCAGGAGGAGAGGGCCCAGAACCGCACGCCCCAGGGGUUGGCACCAGACUCCUAGGACAUUACUCUUCAGACACCUGGCAUCUGAUCCCUCACAGCAUGCCCAAGUCAAGCCUGACCCACGCGUGUUCUCUUUUACUACGUAACAAAUUACCCCAAAAUUUAGGGGCAUAAAACACGGUUUAUGCUCUCCCGGAGUCCACGGGCCAGAAUUCCAGGUGCGGCCUCGCUGGGGCCCCUCAGGAGGUUGCUGUCAGCUCUGGUCGAGGGCUGUGGUCUCAUCCGAGGGGCACCUGGGUGGGGCGGUCAGCAUCCAAGCUCCCUUGUGUGGUCCUUGGCAAGCCUCGCUCCCCCAGCAGGGCAGCUGGCUUCCCCAGGAUGAGCG
rnacentral:lncRNA from 1 species